ACAGGUGGUGCAUGGUUGUCGUCAGCUCGUGUCGUGAGAUGUUGGGUUAAGUCCCGCAACGAGCGCAACCCUUAUUGUUAGUUGCCAUCAUUNAGUUGGGCACUCUAGCAAGACUGCCGGUGACAAACCGGAGGAAGGUGGGGAUGACGUCAAAUCAUCAUGCCCCUUAUGACCUGGGCUACACACGUGCUACGAAUGGGAAGUACAACGA
rnacentral:rRNA from 1 species